GGGUUUGGGAGAGACAGAUGGCACUAUCCGGCGCUCAUAACGGUCUGGUUGCAGGUUCGAGUCCUGCCGGGCCCACCA
rnacentral:tRNA from 1 species